rnacentral:rRNA from 1 species
UCAGCAGUCAAGAAUAUUAGUCAAUGCUCGAAAGAGUGAACUAGCUAACUGAAAUCAAUUUAAAAAUUGAUAACAUAAGGGAAAAUGAUGAUAUUACCUUAUUAUUAGUGUCGUCCAAAACUGGUGCCAGAAGACUCGGUAAGGCCAGAGACACAAACGUUAAUCGUCUUAAUCAGGCGUAAAGGGUUUGUAGGCGGCUUUUAAUUUACUUAUAAAAUUUAAUUUAUUAAAAAAUAAGUUAAGAAUAGAAGCUAGAAUCAAAUAGAGGAUAUAUUAAAUAAUGCUUAGAGUAGGUCUGAUAUCCAUAGAUACUAAGUAGAAUAUUAAAGGCAAAAGCUUUUUUCCAUAAAUGAUUGACGCUCAGAAACGAAGGUGAGGAUAGGAAAUAGGAUUAGAUACCCAAAAUACCCCUCUCUGUCAACGAUGAAUGGUAAUUAUUAAUAAUUUAUUAUUAAUGAUAAUGUUAACACGAUAACCAUUCCGCCUUGUGAGUACAACUGCAAAGUUGAAAACAAAAAAAUUAGUCGGUUUCGGAGCAAACGAAGUGAAGCAUGUUAUUUAAUUCGAUAAUCCGCA